rnacentral:rRNA from 1 species
ACUCAAAUGAAUUGACGGGGGCCCGCACAAGCAGUGGAGCAUGUGGUUUAAUUCGAUGCAACGCGAAGAACCUUACCCAGGUUUGAAAUACAGAGGACAGUCCUAGAAAUAGGAUCUCCCGCAAGGGUCUCUGAACAGGUGCUGCAUGGCUGUCGUCAGCUCGUGCCGUGAGGUGUUGGGUUAAGUCCCGCAACGAGCGCAACCCUUAUCAUUAGUUGCCAACACGUAAUGGUGGGAACUCUAAUGAGACUGCCUGGGUUAACCAGGAGGAAGGUGAGGAUGACGUCAAGUCCGCAUGGCCUUUAUAUCUGGGGCUACACACGUGCUACAAUGGUCGGUACAGAAGGCAGCAAGACCGCAAGGUGGAGCAAAUCCGUAAAGCCGAUCUCAGUUCGGAUUGUAGUCUGCAACUCGACUACAUGAAGUUGGAAUUGCUAGUAAUGACGUGUCAGCAAUAACGUCGUGAAUACGUUCCCGGGCCUUGUACACACCGCCCGU